GGGGUCUUGGAUGUACAUCAAUCGAGCGAUGUCUCUCCUCGAAAUCGUAGAGGUGCAUGCCGGGGUUCUGGGAUGUACAUCGAACGAUGUCUCUCCUCGAAAUCGUAGAGGUUCAUGUCGGGGGUCUGGGAUGUACAUCGAACGAUGUCUCUGCUCGAAAUCGUAGAGGUGCAUGUCGGGGGUAGUACCAAUCCUAGUAGUCCU